UACGUAGGGUGCAAGCGUUAAUCGGAAUUACUGGGCGUAAAGCGUGCGCAGGCGGUUCGGAAAGAAAGGUGUGAAAUCCCAGGGCUUAACCUUGGAACUGCACUUUUAACUACCGGGCUAGAGUACGUCAGAGGGGGUAGAAUUCCACGUGUAGCAGUGAAAUGCGUAGAGAUGUGGAGGAAUACCGAUGGCGAAGGCAGCCCCCUGGGAUGAUACUGACGCUCAUGCACGAAAGCGUGGGGAGCAAACAGG
rnacentral:rRNA from 1 species